AGGGUAAGAAAAUACUAGUACCAAGUAGCUAUGCUUAUGUUUUUGCAAGAUUUCCAUCGGUCAUUAACUUGAUUUUCUUAUUUUUCAAUAGAAAUAUCAUACGAUCUCCGUAAAUGAAUAGUAUGGAUUAUAGGAUGAAUUACAAAUGUUUGCCUGGUUGACAAUUAUUGUUUGCAGAGGACAAGGCAAAGGAACCCGAACAAUAUGGAGGUCGGUGUCGUUAUGGCUGCUGUGGUCGUCGGGGCCCCUAUGGUUGUAGUAAGUGCUGCAGAACAGGUAAUAGUUGCACCAUUCAAAGAAACAGGAUUUAAAUGCGUGAACAGUAUUUGUAACUUAAAAAGUUGUGUUGUCCAUGUAGCUAAUGAAGCUGAAGCAACCCAAGUAAACGCUGACAUCAAUGGCAAUGAAGGCGGUGGACAUGGUGGUGGCGGCGGCUAUGGAGGUGGUGGCGGCGGACAUGGUGGUGGCGGCGGCUAUGGAGGUGGUGGUGGUGGCAGCGGAGGUGGUCAUGGUGGGGGAGGUGGUCAUGGUGGUGGAGGUGGAUAUGGUGGGCACUGCAGGUACGGCUGUUGUGGUGGCUAUGGCAAAUAUUGCAGGUGCUGCUACAACCCUGAAGAAGCUCAAGCUUUUGUACAAAAUGAGAACUGAGCCAAGCCAUAAAUCAAGGAAACUUCCAUGUACAAGUUUGCGUGAAUAACUACAUGGUUGAAUGUUGAUCUUAUGACAAAAAUAAAAUACUUAGUACAUGUGCUUCUGUGCUUAGCACAUAUGUAAGGAAUAAAAAGUUUCAGUCAUCAUUUGAUGAUGUGAAUUUCAACAAGUGUCCUUCAAUCCCAUGCCUGGAUUUUUUUUUUUUUUUUUUUUUUUAAAUUUGACAUCUGCUACUUGUCAUGUUUGUCUUUGCUCUUAACAUUUGCACUUGAAUGCUCCAGUCAAAAUUUAAGUAAAUUUGUGAAAUAAAUAAAAAUAGCAACACCAGACCAAUCAUUCAUGAUAGAAGUAGGAAGUAGGAAGCCAGAGAGAUAAUUGGAAAGUACACUCGAUUAAAGAAAAAACAACGAAAGCCACAUAAAAUCAGAAAAAAAAAAUUAAAUCGAGUGUAAUUGGCAGGGUACGUAUUCAUGCCACUGAUGGAGGCAAUGUAGUUGCAGGAAUUGCUGGCUUUGUGGGCUAUGACCAUAUAGAGUUGUAAGUAAUUUCUCACAGUAAAUGUUCUGCUUGUUCGUGGAAACAAGAGAACUAAAGCAUCAUCAGGUUUGACAAAUGCAAGUGCACAUCUUUGGACUUGGGAGUUGGGAGGACUCGGGAGCUAAUACCUACAUAGAAAAUGGGCGAUGGAUGAAGAAAGGUGCUACAGACUUUUUAUGUCCUCCAAUGUGGGUGGCAGAAUACACUUUCCUUGAAGUUGAUCAGCGAGAUUACUUUUGUGAUUGCUGAAAUUCAUGACAAAACGGUUCAACAUCUUCAAUCACAAAUUCGUCGAACUGCAAUUAUAAUCUCAUUGGACCAAACUCGAGUAAGCAAAUCAAAUCAAAUCGCUAAUGUCACUUCUUCCAAGUAGCGCUGACAUUCUAAGAUUGACAAGGAAAUGCAGGCUUUGACUCAUCAUUUACUUAAAGCAGGAUACAACAGCAAAAGAAAUCCAGAAGCAAAGAAUAUGAAACUAACCUGAAAACAAAGAUUUAGUAUUUCACAUUUAGAACAGUUACACGCAAAUCAAAAACAUUUUUGCUGCAUUGGGUCGGUGAACAUCCGUACAAGCAUGUGUUACAACAAGAUGUAUACAGUCUCAGGAGUCAUGCUACUAAAGUUUGAUGCCCGAUGCUCUCAGAAGAUAAAAUGGAACUCAGACACGUCGCUGAAGACUGGAGAGUCACUCAUCACUCAAAUGGUGGUCUUCUUAGACAAAGAAAUACCAUUAUCACAGCUGUUUAAGUAAAAUCCAACAGUCAAAGGCAACCAAAAAUAGUUAAAAUGAGGCAUAAAACAAAUAGAUUUCACAUCAGACUUCAACGACACUACUUGUAAGCUUGCAUUUCUGCAAAAGUGACUUAAGAAAGGGUGCCGGAUGAUAUGUUUGAGAAACCAAAGAUUGCAUUAGUUAAAUCCGCAUUUAAAUGCACAUUAUAUACUUAGCCAGUCGUAUUGACCAUCCCAAUUAGUCACGAGAAUCAUACAACUCAAGGCUGAUUAUCAAAUCAAAAGGAGUGGUUUGAAAACACAAAAUUUGGAAAAGAUGGCCAAUGGAAAUGUGGUUACAAGUACGAUUGAAUAUGAGAAACAUAACAAACUUGAUAGAUCUUCCUGCUGAAGUUAUUUGCUUUUCUUUUAAUUAGUUCAUAAAAUGUUAUUCGACUAUAAUAGUCAGCAGAAAGACAUCCAGAAAUUUUCUCACUCCAUAAUUGAAUUUAAGAAAAGAAAUUUAUACUAUAAGUUAAGUCUAUGCCAAUGAACAAGUUGCACAAAAUUAGUCCUUAAAUAACUGAAACACGGCAAGAUAUAUUUAUGAAAUACACCAUACUUGCAAGUAAGCUUAGUCAAUUUAAACAAGAAGAAGCAUCAGAUAAAUAAGAUCGUUUAAUAGUAAGAGGCAAAGGAAAGAAUAUUACCCAUGAUGCGAGCCUUAAGGGUGAUGAGGUUGCAGUCUCUUCAGAAAAAAGGGUCAUACUAAAGAACCAGAAGAGUUCUUAAGCCUUGUCUUAGCGCUUGAAAAAAACAAUAUCUCUGCCGCAGCUAACUUUGAUAGCUUCCUCCAAACUCUCCAUCUGAUCAAAAUCAACUUUGAAGGUUACCAUGGUAACACCAUCUUUUCCAGUGUCAUAAUCUUGCUUAAUGUCUUCAGCCCGAAAUGAUUGUAGCUGCAAGAUACACAAAUGGUGUAUUUGUGAGACAACUGUUUACGAUGUUGAGAUGCACUAAUCACAACCUCAUCAAACAAGUCAAUGCAUUGAUGACAUUUAGCAAACUGGUAAUAUAUGAAAAACUGACGUAUGCUCCACAUGUCAAAAUGACAAUCAAAACAUGAUUUGUCAUGACAAUAUUUGACAGUUAAUUAGCCAGCAACACAACCAGAAGAGAACUUAUAAAUCCUCUGAAUCUUACCUGAUGGUAGAGAACCCCCAAAAGGUCAUAUGGAAUCUCCAAGCCCAUUGGAACCUACAAAUCAAGAUCCUUGUCACAAUAUUUAAUUCAUGAAGCAGAUUUCAAUGUGCAAAGUACGAAGUGGAAAAGAAACUUAUAGAAUUAGACUACUAUUGAUUCAAUAGGCACAAGUUUUAGAGAAUGUAAAAGCCAGCAAGGAUGAGUUGUUACUUUGGACUUGACAAGACAAGUGGGGGCAUUUCUCAAACAAUCAGCAGCAACCCCUCCAUAAGCCCUGACUAAACCUCCGGUGCCAAGUUUAAUACCUCCGAAGUACCUAAAUUAUGAAAUGCAAAAAGAUGAACAUCUUGAAUAGCUUCUCUCCCUAGAUAGAAAAGCCAAAUAACAGACUAAUGGAUGUCAAAAACUUAAUGCAUGUAUCAAAAAAUGAAAAUUGUUACGUAAAAACAACACUCUCUACAUUUCAUUCACAAAAGAAACAUUUGAAUCAGAGCCAAAGGGAAAAAAGCAAUAGCAUGGCCCCAAAAAAUGUGCAACAUUUGUCUACCUGAUCACGACUACCAUAACUCUAUCAAUCCCAGAAGAUUCAAUUGCAGAAAGUAUUGGCUUGCCUGCUGUACCAGAUGGUUCACCGUCAUCAUUACUCCGAAACUGAUCCCCAACCUAGAAUUCACAAAUAACUGCAUUUGCGUCGAAAACAACCAACAAACAAAAGGGGCAAAGAGAAAUAAAAGCCUCAUAAUUGAUUCAAGUACCCCAAGAAUCACUAAUAACUAUCAUACCGGAAAAGAUCAAAUUUUGUACCUUAUAUGCCCAACAAUUAUGAGUAGCCUUGGGGUCACGAACCUUAUUUCCAAACAAAACAAAAAAUAAGUCUUUAAUGGCAAAAAUAAAAAAAUAAAAAAAACCAAAAGUAAAAUGCAAGAAAGAAGAGAGGAAGGAGUGAUUAUUAAUACCUCAGUGAGGAAGGCCUGAGCAGAGCGUUCAUUAGAGAUGGUGCCAGCAAUGGCGAUAAAUUUACUCUUCUUUAUCUCUGUCUGAAAUGUGACCCUUUCUUUAAUUGUGGUAAAGGCACCACCUUUUUUAUUAUUAUUGGGAUUAGAAUCAGACGCAGUGAUGCUAUUGCUGCUAAUGGUGGCCAUUGGCGUUAGAUAAAUACAGGGUUUUGUCUGAAUUACGGAGAACGAGGGAAGAAAACGGUGACGGUGAUUCUGAAGAUUGUGAUGGAGAAGAAGGGCUUUGUUCAGAUUCUUGAAAGGGAUUGAGAGAAUCCGCAUAGAAGCAGCCGCCUGCAUCAGCAAAAACCUUAAUUUCUUUCCAUCUAAAACGUUGUCGUGAUGGUGGAAUUCGAUUAAGGUUUCGUUCUUUGUUUUUUAUGCUCAAUUUUGAGGACAGAAAAAUAUGCAAGCAACAAAAUAGUCUUUAGGAUUAUAGAGCACGCUUUAAAAUAUGCAAGCAACAAAAUAUUCUUUAGAAACAUCGAGGCGUGGAACUCUUGAGUAUUAUAUGGGACGCUUUAGAUUGAGGGCGCAAAAGGAUGGGGAUAUUUGGGGGAAAAAAAAAAAAGUUACCCCACAUUUGUGAUUUGUUACUCGAAUAGACAAAAUUUGGAAAAUGCACUUCCAUCCAUUAAAAAGUAACUUUAAGAAGUUAGCCUAGAACGACAUAUGCAUAAUUUGGCUUAAAUACCUACAUUUUGAGAAUUUCCUUGAAAAUGUUAUUUGCGCCAUUUCUGUUAAUUACACUCCCACUAUUAUUUUAAUCAUAUAAUUUUUGUUUGUUAGAACAUAUAAUAAAACAAAUUAUGCUAGUGCAAGUAACAAAAAAUGAGUGCAAAUAAUAUUUCUCUUUUCCUUUUGCUCAAGUUAUGCAAGUAGUAUUUCCUCUGUCAACGAGCAAUUCUUAGGUUUUUUAAUGAAGGACAACAAAAGUAUGAAAAUACAUAUUCAAAUGAUGUCCAUGCCAAAAUAAGAAGACCACCAUGCAAAGAAAUAUGUCAUUGUGAAUUUUAAUAUUAAAUUAUCAAGGCUUACUGCAAAAUAAAAUGUAAAAGAUCAAUAUGAUGUUAAGAGAUGUGAUUCGCUAACUAAAGGUUUUUUCAUGAUUAAAUUGGAUUGGCACUCCUCAAAAAUGCCCCUUUUCAAUCCAAAAGUCUCAUACUAAAUAUGAAAAUAAAAAAAAAAAAACAAACUAAGAUGAUGGUCUUUUCAUUCGAACCUUCAUUUUGUACUAAACAUAGAACUAGAAAUAAGUUAUAAAAACAUGAUCUAUUCAAGUUUAUGUGAAAAAAGUAAAUUUUUCACAAAAAAAUUUUGCAUGUGCUGAUGAGCCAAAAUAAGCAAAAUACCACACUUUCCUAGUAAAUCAAGCACAAAUGCAAGGAAUUGUUUUUGCUUUCUAAUACUAUUGAAAACUAUAAUUUUUUAUUCGCUUCGCUGUCUCCAUCCCCAACGUCGCUUUGGCCGAGUGGUUAAGGCGUGUGCCUGCUAAGUACAUGGGGUUUCCCCGCGAGAGUUCGAAUCUCUCAGGCGACGACUCUUUUACCUUUUCGGCUUCCGUUUGCUCUUACAAUCUCACCGACUACUUUCUAGUAGUUCUUCACUUUUGACCGUUAAACACUUGUUCUUUCUCCGGCUUUCAAGUCAAGACAACUUUUCGUCCACAUUAAUCGGAGAACCUGAAAUGGGAACUGGAAGGGGACCUCACCGGAGAAAGUCAAUGACCACCUCUCCCUCUGUGGCUCUGUCCCCCUCCCCCAUAUAUACCUCUUCUGACUUUUGAAUUGUCUCAAGACCGACCCUAACGCGGUGACUCGGCCAUCCCUCCAACCAGUUUGGUGAACUGGGCAAUCCAGCCAACAACAACUCACCAAUCAAUAAGUCCAAUGCAUUAGGUCCACCCUCUUGACACGUAGCAUUUUCUUUUUUUUUUUUUUCAAGAAAAAUGUUUGGGUACAUUCAGCUCCAAUCAAUACUGGUGUAUACCUCCCGAACCAUAGAUCGCUUACAGAAAUUUUUACAGAUCGCCUACCAACACAGUUUUCACAUUGGCGGCGGGAUUCGCAUACAUAAUCUUUUGUAAAAAAGUGAUUCAUUCUUAUUAAUUGGACCAACUUGUGUAAAAAAGUGAUUCAUUCUUAUUAAUUGGACCAACUUGUGUUGACAUAGCCUUUGUUGUUCAUGAAAAAGGUUGCAUUUCCUUUCAAGUCUGGAGUAGUGACUUAUGGGAAUUGGAAAAUAAGGGUGCAUUUAAUAAAAUUGAAAUUUGAGAUUUGAAAUCUAAAAUCUAAAUUUAGCAAAUUACUAAAUUAUUAAGUACCAAAUUUAAUAGUACAUUUGAGUGUAUGUCACAUUAAGUGAUAAGUGAAUAGCUUAUCACUUAUUUUUUUUAUCCAAAUUUUGUCUUAAAAAAUUCAGCGUCAUUUAAUUAGUUCAAAUAUUUUAUUUUUAGUUAUCAAACGUGUCGAAAUAAGUUAAAAUUUGAAUACACUAAAUUUAAGUGAUGAAUUAGGUUAGCAAACACGGUGGAGUCAAGCUUAACAUUUGGCUGCAAUCAAAGGGUUAACGGCCCCGUCAGUCUAUGACCAUAUUUAAUUUCAAUGAUAAUGUGAACGACUAACAUAUUUUAUCAGCCUCAUUUUUUCUCAAACUUUUUGACAGUUGCCAUUAGCCUCAUCUACCUGAUGGAAUUGGUGUCCUUUAACGUGGUCAAGUGACGUUUUCUUCUUCCAUGGGCCAAUUACUUGGGAAUUUUUUUUCUUUAAUUAUAUGAUUAAAAUUAACACACAAUAAUGACAACAAUACUGAGCACACACAGAUUAAAACUGAUCAACAACAUUACAGCUAAUAACAUUAGAAAAUGUGGGAUGGUAACUAAUAAAUUCACAUUCAGUGAGAUUUAAACCCAAGAUUUGUUUAUUUACAUGAUUUAUAAAUCGUCUCUAUUAAAUUAACCUUUUUAAGUUAGCAUGGCAAAUAAUCAUCAAGCGAUCUGUGUAUCUACAUGAGCAGAAAUUUUACAAAACCAUUAUUUGAAUUACUCUAUAUGCAUAUGUUUUGAUGCCCUCAAAUUGUUCAGAAUACUUCAAUAAACAACCUAUUCAGUCGACACAUUUUUCAGUAUUCAGUAUUUCCAAUCCUUGUGAUAAGGUGGUUAACUGAAGGGUAGAUAUUAAAGUUCUCUUGAUUAAUAUUGAUUAAGUGCAUAAGCAUAUUAUUCUUUCAUCAAAUCCAAUAAAAAAAAUUCCUUAAUCACGCGUUAUAGUGACAUUAGGGUACCCCAAAAAAAAAAAAAAUGAAUCGAAUAUUGAAGCUGUUGAUUUGCAGCAUGGACUCGUUGAGGUUAGGUCGGAGGUUUGCUCAAGGGAGGUAAUAUCUUAGGUAGUGGCUGGAGGACCGGGCGCGUCAUCUAGAUGCAGGAGUUGAGGAGAAACUUUAAAUCAGUGAUGGAAAUUUGAUGCCAAAUAAUGGCCUUAAUUAGUUCUCUUCAUGGUGCUCAGUAUAUUUUUCGUCUAUAACGAACAUAUUCAGAUGCAUGAAUUUAAUUAUGAUGCGACUUUGGGCAGUCUUUCAUGGAUUGCCUGCUAUCAUAAGUAGCAAUUAGUUAUUGAACAGGAAUUGGACUUUUAACUUCUACUAGAGAAAUGCUUUUAAGACGUUAUUGUUUUCAGGUUCAGAUAUCUAUUGUAGAGAAGAUUACUUGACGAUCUAGUAAUUAACUGGAAGAUCUUAAGAAAAAAAAAAAAGAUCAGCUAGCUACUAUAAAUGGUGAAAUUUAAAAAGCGCGGAGAAAAAAGAAAAAUUUAAAUUCAAUAUCUCUAAAUCCUGAAAUCUCAACUUUAUUCAGCAUUGAAAAAUAAUUGUUCGAGAAAUUAUUACGUGUAAAACAUACAUUCAACAGUCAGAAACUCGAUCGUGUGUGUUGACUGGUCAAAAAUAUCUUUAGGGCAGGUCAGAAGAACAUGCUGUUGACUCUUGGCUCUUCUAUCUUGAUUGGGCCAAGGUGGGAAUCCGAUAUUAUUCCACUCUCUGUUCUUUUCUUUUGGCAGAGAAUCGUAUGCAUGAUAACAAAGCGGGUAUGCAGGCUUUGGGUCUGGGGAGGAAAGAAAAGAUGAAAAAUAAAAGAAGAAUGCGUCACGCUCUGACUUGGUUCCCAAAGGCAUCCAUUAUUCAGCUGGAACUCUGCUCUGGUCAAAUUUGCGCUGUGUAGACUACGCAGUAUUGUUCCAACCAUUCCAAGUCGUAAUAAAGCAACUUGUUGGACAACAAUUUCUAUUUUGUGGACGUAAUUCAUCAUGUAAUCAUUAGCAACCCUUCCAGAUUAUGGAGAGCUAAACAAAGUUGUGGUUUCAAUUACCUUCUUAUCUUUCUAACUAUUAUUUUUUAUUUCACAUACCUUACAUGCUAAUAUAACAGGUGCUACAAUAUUUUUUUUUAAAAAAAUAUUUCAAAUAAUCUCCGAUCCAAAAUUAUUAAUUUGGAUAGAAGAGGGAUUUAAAGGUAAGAAUGUGCGACACUUUAUUCUUUUUUAUUCUGGGGUUUAGGAGAGAAAUUGAGAAUUAUAUUUACUUUGCUUGGAAGUUAGUGUAUGAAAGAGAAAUGAAGCAUCCAAAUUAUUCUGACUUUCUCUACCUGUUAAGCAAGAGGUUUACUUUUUUUUUUUUUUUGGUCUACUUUUUUCAAGUUGAGAAACUUGUACAUGUCCAUAAUUACUCGAAAACUUGCAAGGAAACUAUCUUAAGGAAAAAGAGCCAAAAUAGGUAAGUUGCCAAAGCAAAUGGUGCAAAUAUUUGCUAAUUACCUUUCUAGCUCUCGUUGUAUCCACAAUUCACGAGUUCCAAUAAUAAUAAAAAAAAAUAAAACAACAAAAAUGAAUACAAAAUUGAAGUUUUCUAAGACAUUCAUUGAUACUCGAUAACACAUCUAAAUUUCAUCUAACAUAUCGCGCGUGUGCAUGUAUAUAUUGAUAAUUAUUGCCUUCCCUUCUCCUAUUUAUAUAUAUUUUUUAAUUAAUUUUAUUUUUUAAAAAAUUUAACACUUGAAUUAUAUUUUAAAAUGUGCCUAUUGGACACCCGUUAGAUAUAUCCUUAAAAAAUUGCAAAAAGCAAAAAGUUACAAAAGUGUUAAAGGCAUUAAAGAAAAAACUUUGUUGGCCACAGCCCGCAACAACACGAAUUCAUGAAUUCUCGUACUGACCCCCUUAUUCUUCUUUAACAGUAACCAAUAACCUUAGAACUCCGCCAGUUGGCCAAUUUGCAAAGCGCAGGAUGUGGUAGCGUUCUAUUAGGUCAUUAGACAAUUAGUCUCUGACCCCAUAACCGCGUAAACAAAUUCAACCUAAAUUCUACUACUACGCAAGAAACUUCCUUCAUUUCCCAUUUUCAUUUUCCUUUCGUUUCCUUUUUCCUAAAAAUAGUUCCAAUUUCCCCCACUAUAUAUAUGUAAACCUUUCUCCUCCCUUCCCCCUCAAACCAUCAAUCACUUCAAUUUUCUUUCCCCUUUUACCAGCACAUGUCUCAGAGACCCAACGUCCCACACUUCUCCUCCGUCGCCUGCGGCCUCCAUUCCCAUCUCCUGGUUUCCAGUGAGAUGUCCUCUAAUUCCAACUGGUCUUCUUCUGCUCGUACCUUGUAGCUAUUCCACCACCUAGUCUUUUUCCUUAAAUACCCCACAAAAUUAAAAAUUAAAAACCACACACACACUAAACCCAAACAAACAAGGAGAAGAAAGGAAUCAAGAAAAACGCUACUCAUUUUUUCUGAGUUCAACAAAAGAAGAAAAUAUGGGUUUGAAAGGCUUUCUUGAAGGAGGCAUAGCUUCAAUAGUGGCUGGAUGCUCCACCCACCCGCUGGACCUCAUCAAGGUCCGAAUGCAACUUCAGGGAGAAUCCCCCGUCCCCAAACCGGCUGCUCAAGCGCUCCGACCAGCUCUAGCCUUCCACCCUGCAGCUGGUCAGGUUUCUCAUCCUCACAUUCACGUCCCUUCUCCAUCUCUUCGUCCGCCGCCGCCCCGCGUGGGACCCAUUGCCGUGGGAGUCAAGAUUGUCCAGCAAGAAGGGGUCGCCGCGUUGUUUUCCGGCGUCUCCGCCACCGUCCUCCGCCAGACUCUUUACUCCACCACCCGCAUGGGACUUUAUGAUGUUCUGAAGCAAAAAUGGACCGACCCACAUACCAACAAGAUGCCUCUGGAUAGAAAAAUCGCUGCUGGGCUCAUCGCCGGCGCGGUUGGAGCGGCCGUCGGGAACCCCGCUGACGUGGCCAUGGUCCGCAUGCAAGCCGAUGGUCGGCUCCCGGUGGAUCUGCGGCGCAAUUACAAGAGCGUGGUUGACGCGAUUGGUCAAAUGGCUAAAACCGAGGGAGUUGGCAGCCUGUGGCGCGGUUCAUCCCUUACGGUGAACCGCGCUAUGGUGGUGACGGCAUCACAGCUGGCAUCAUAUGAUCAGAUCAAGGAAUCGAUAUUGGAAACGGGUCUGAUGAAGGAUGGGCUUGGGACCCACGUGACCGCCAGCUUCGCCGCGGGGUUCGUGGCGGCGGUGGCGUCGAAUCCGGUGGACGUGAUCAAGACUAGGGUGAUGAACAUGAAGGUCGAGCCGGGGAUGGCCCCACCUUACAGUGGAGCCGUGGAUUGUGCUAUGAAAACUAUCAAGGCUGAGGGCCCACUGGCCCUUUACAAGGGGUUUAUUCCCACAAUCUCAAGGCAGGGACCAUUCACAGUGGUGCUCUUUGUCACACUGGAACAAGUCCGGAAAUUGUUCAAGGAAUUUUGAUUUUUGAGGAUGAUGACGAAGAAAUUAGAAUAAAAAGAAAAUUAUGUUUCUUCUUUUAUGUUCCUGAGAUCUGGGAGUUUGAAUAGCAAGAAAUCUGUCAGAUACUGCAUGUCCUUUGAUUUAUAGUAAAUGGUUAAUUUUUUUUAAUUUGAAUUAUAAACUUGAAACCAACGCAAUUAAAGUAUUCUAUUUUUCAUUAUUUUCAAAGGUCGUGGGAGAAUACGUAAAUCAAUGCAAACUUAUUUGUCUCUUGGACGAACAAAUUAACUUUUACUUUUGGCCGAAUAUCGAACAAAGUCGAUGCAAUUUGACAAAAGGUGAAUUUGAGUGGCUGCAAUUAGUACUAAUUGUUUGUUCAUGUGAGCUAGGGGCUCUAGCUUCUACUUACCCUUUUUUUCCUUUUUUCUAAAUGAGCGGUAUUAGUCUCAUGUUCUUGUUUUUGUAGUCCCAUAAUUACAUAUAAUAUCAGCAAAAAGUUAUAUCCCAAGCUUGAUUUUGGUUUCUUUGUUAAGCAAAAUUCAGUUCCAAAUUAGCAAUAGUAUAUAGUUGUGUUUGGACAGACAUUUUUCGUCCAAAAAUUACUACAUUUUCCGUGAACACAUUUUCCUAUCAUCUUUUUACUUCACAUACAUCAAAUCAAAUCGCUACAGUAAUUUUUUUACAAAAAAUCCAGAAAAAUGCAAUCCAAACACAACCUAUUAUAUUGUUGAAUUCAGUUGGACUUUGUACUCAAGUGGAAUAUUCGAAGCUCAUAUGCGCUGCUAAAAAGUGCUGGUAUAUUCUUAUAAGAUAUGUAUAUAUUCUUUAGUUAUGGCUAAAAUUGAGACCUUCAGAAAUUAAAAGUCUUUUUUGUUUUUUGAAUCUCACCUCUUAUGUGCCAAAAAAAAAAAAAGUUCUUUAGCUAGAAGUGAUCGUUGUAAGAUAUGUAUUUUCUCAAGCUAAGAAGUUAUUUAAGGAUCAAUAAUAAUUAUUCUUUUAUGUUUUCAAACAAACUUUAUGAAAAACGAAUGUAUUUAAGUAUAGGUAAAUUCUUUCUCAAUAAGUGAAGAGGAAAAGAACAAAAAAAAAAAAAGGGUUGCAUGAUCUUCACAUGCAAUGAAGGUAUUAUCAAACAGAGACGUUAAAUGUAACUUUUACCUGAGUCUUUGGCGUUUACGUAGGACAACAUGAAAGGUUGUGGACAUGGAUUUUU
rnacentral:lncRNA from 1 species